rnacentral:rRNA from 1 species
AUGAACGCUAGCGGGAGGCUUAACACAUGCAAGUCGAGGGGCAGCAUUUCUAGCUUGCUAGAAGAUGGCGACCGGCGCACGGGUGCGUAACGCGUAUGCAACUUACCUCUAACUGGAAGAUAACCCAAAGAAAUUUGGACUAAUACUCCAUAACAUCACGAAUUCGCAUGUUUUUGUGAUUAAAGUUUCGAUGGUUACAGAUGGGCAUGCGUGACAUUAGUUAGUUGGUAAGGUAACGGCUUACCAAGACUGUGAUGUUUACGGGGUCUUAAAGGAUGGUCCCGCACACUGGUACUGAGACACGGACCAGACUCCUACGGGAGGCAGCAGUGAGGAAUAUUGGUCAAUGGACGCAAGUCUGAACCAGCCAUGCCGCGUGAAGGAUGACGGCCCUACGGGUUGUAAACUUCUUUUAUACAGGAAGAAAAUACCUUACGAGUAAGGGACUGACGGUACUGUAAGAAUAAGGAUCGGCUAACUCCGUGCCAGCAGCCGCGGUAAUACGGAGGAUCCAAGCGUUAUCCGGAUUUAUUAGGUUUAAAGGGUCCGCAGGCGGAACUGUAAGUCAGUGGUGAAAUCCUGCAGCUUAACUGUAGAACUGCCAUUGAUACUGCAAUUCUUGAGUAUAGUUGAUGUGGGCGGAAUGUGUCAUGUAGCGGUGAAAUGCAUAGAUAUGACACAGAACGCCGAUAGCGAAGGCAGCUCACAAAACUACUACUGACGCUGAGGCACGAAAGCGUGGGGAGCGAACAGGAUUAGAUACCCUGGUAGUCCACGCCGUAAACGAUGAUAACUAGUUGUUGGCGAUAUACUGUCAGCGACCAAGCGAAAGCGAUAAGUUAUCCACCUGGGGAGUACGAUCGCAAGGUUGAAACUCAAAGGAAUUGACGGGGGCCCGCACAAGCGGUGGAGCAUGUGGUUUAAUUCGAUGAUACGCGAGGAACCUUACCUGGGCUUAAAUGCAUAUUGACAGAUUGGGAAACCAGUCCUUCUUCGGACAAUUUGCAAGGUGCUGCAUGGUUGUCGUCAGCUCGUGCUGUGAGGUGUCGGGUUAAGUCCCAUAACGAGCGCAACCCCUAUUCUUAGUUGCCAGCGAGUAAUGUCGGGGACUCUAGAGAAACUGCCCGCGCAAGCGGAGAGGAAGGUGGGGAUGACGUCAAAUCAUCACGGCCCUUACGUCCAGGGCUACACGCGUGCUACAAUGGCAGGUACAGAGGGCAGCUACAUAGUGAUAUGAUGCGAAUCUUCAAAGCCUGUCUCAGUUCGGAUCGAAGUCUGAAACUCGACUUCGUGAAGCUGGACUCGCUAGUAAUCGCGUAUCAGCAAUGACGCGGUGAAUACGUUCCCGGGCCUUGUACACACCGC